rnacentral:rRNA from 1 species
UACGUAGGGUGCGAGCGUUGUCCGGAAUUAUUGGGCGUAAAGCGCACGUAGGCGGCUUUCUAAGUCAGGGGUGAAAUCCUGGAGCUCAACUCCAGAACUGCCUUUGAUACUGGAGAGCUUGAGUCCGGGAGAGGUGAGUGGAACUCCGAGUGUAGAGGUGAAAUUCGUAGAUAUUCGGAAGAACACCAGUGGCGAAGGCGGCUCACUGGCCCGGUACUGACGCUGAUGUGCGAAAGCGUGGGGAGCAAACAGG